GAUGAACGCUGGCGGCGUGCCUAAUACAUGCAAGUCGAACGGAGAGCUAGCAAUAGUUCUUAGUGGCGAACGGGUGAGUAACGCGUUGGUGACCUGCCCCGAAACGGGGGAUAACAGUUCGAAAGGACUGCUAAUACCCCAUAAUAUCUUGGUAGUUAGAGAGCUAAGAUGAAAGGAGAAAUCCGUUUUGGGAGGGGCCUGCGUCCCAUCAGCUAGUUGGUAGGGUAAAAGCCUACCAAGGCGAUGACGGGUAGGGGACCUGAGAGGGUGACCCCCCACAAUGGAACUGAACACGGUCCAUACACCUACGGGUGGCUG
rnacentral:rRNA from 1 species